GUUGUGACGUUGUGGGCGGGGCCGGGCGGGCUCUCCCUCGGGUGCUUAGCCCCGCCCCCGUCCCGCUCCCUGCCCUUUUUCUGCCGCGCCGCUGCUGGCUCCUGUCCCUGGACCCCUACCAUGGAGAAGACCGUUGAAGAUCCCCCCACAUCAGCUGUCUUGCUGGAUGACUGUCAUUUCUCUCAGGUCAUCUUUAACAGUGUGGAGAAGUUCUACAUCCCUGGAGGGGAUGUCACAUGUCAUUACACCUUCACCCAGCAUUUCAUCCCUCGUCGAAAGGAUUGGAUUGGCAUCUUUAGAGUGGGAUGGAAGACAACCCGUGAGUAUUACACCUUCAUGUGGGUUAAUUUGCCCAUUGACCUAAACAACGAAUCAGCCAAACAGCAGGAAGUCCAAUUCAAAGCUUACUACCUGCCCAAGGAUGAUGAGUAUUACCAGUUCUGCUAUGUGGAUCAGGAUGGUGUGGUCCGGGGAGCAAGUAUUCCUUUCCAAUUCCGUCCAGAAAAUGAGGAAGACAUCCUGGUUGUUACCACUCAGGGAGAGGUGGAAGAGAUUGAACAGCACAACAAGGAGCUUUGCAAAGAAAACCAGGAGCUGAAGGACAGCUGUGUUAGUCUCCAGAAACAGAAUUCAGACAUGCAAGCUGAGCUCCAAAAGAAGCAGGAGGAGCUAGAAACCCUGCGGUGCAUCAAUAAGAAGUUGGAACUGAAAGUGAAAGAGCAGGAGGACUAUUGGGAGACAGAGCUGCUUCAACUGAAAGAACAAAACCAGAAGAUGUCCUCAGAAAACAAGAAGAUGGGAAUCAGAGUGGAUCAGCUUCAGGCCCAGCUGUCAACUCAAGAGAAAGAAAUGGAGAAGCUUGUUCAGGGAGAUCAAGAUAAGACAGAGCAGUUAGAGCAUCUGAAAAAAGAAAAUGACCACCUCUUUCUCAGUUUAACUGAACAGAGGAAGGACCAGAAGAAGCUCGAGCAGACAGUGGAGGCGAUGAAGCAGAAUGAAACUACUGCAAUGAAGAAGCAACAGGAAUUAAUGGAGCCUAGGAGCAAGAAAGCAGCACUAACUGUGGAGGAGCAGUUAGCACGAGAGGUGGAACGCCUAAAGGCAAAGGUAGAGGCCGGGAAAGCCUGUUUCUUAGAGAAGUACAAAGAGUGUCAACGACUUCACAAACAGAUCAGGCAACUCAGGGCGGCUGCACUGGAAGUGAAGCAGGACCAGAAGAGCCAGCAGAAGCCAAUGGGGAUGGGAAGCAAGGAGUCUGCAGUCAGCACUGUCACCGGGAUGAAAACUUUGACCUGUCAAGAAGACUGAGUGAGAACAAAAUGAUAUGUAAUGUUCUGCAGAGAGAGAAAGAGAGAUUAGAAGGAGAAAAUGAUCUUUUGCAGAGGGAGAACACCAGAUUGCUCAGUUACAUGGGUCUGGAUUUUAAUUCUUUGCCGUAUCAAGUACCUACUUCAGAUGAAGGAGGCGCAGGACAAAAUCCAGGACUUGUCUAUGGAAACCCAUAUUCUGGUAUCCAAGAAAGUUCUUCCCCAAGCUCACUCUCCAUCAAGAAAUGCCCCAUCUGCAAAGCAGAUGAUAUUUGUGAUCACACCUUGGAGCAACAGCAGAUGCACGCCCUUUGUCUGAAUUGUCCAAUUUGUGGCAAGACCUUCCCGGCAAGAGAGAAGCAGAUCUUUGAAGACCACGUGUUCUGCCACUCUCUAUGAGCAUCCCAGCCUCUUGGAUAUAUACAGAGAUUUUAUAGAGUAGAACCUAUAGCUUCUACCAUGAGUUAUAUGAGUCAAGGUCCUGCCUAACCUGAAAUUACUAGAGAUUUACUCAGCCCUGCUGCCACUAACAGUGGAGUCAUGUCACUUAUCUGAAGGACACUGUUAAGAGCUUCUGGUGCCAUCCUGUGGGUUACUACCUUUAAGUCACAUAACUUUAGCUGUAUCAUCCUCUCACCUAUCAUUCUUCCAGGGGUCUUCAGUACAAGGUCCCUGAGAUGGAGCCAACCUAGGUAUUCACAACAGGCCUGACUUGACACUAAAUCAUUAGUUUUCCAAGUUGUCCCACUGCCAUUCAGGGGCAGGCCUUGAGUGUAUUUGUUCUCAGUCCUAACCCUGGAGCCAGCGAUUGGUCCGAGGUUGAGAAUUCCUUUCUCCUCCUCCUCCUCACUGUUGCUUUCUCCAACUGAUUGCUUUAGACUAGCCAAAAAUGGCACAGCAAAGAGCUCAGAAGUCCAAUUUGGAUACCAAAGCUUUCUCAUGUAAAUUUCUCCGCCCCAAAAGAAGCAUCUUAUUCCUGAACCUUAGACAGGAAUUAUUUCAGUCACAGAAAGCUUUUCUGGGUACCUCUGGUUAACAUUUUCUACUCUCUGAUCUUUCCUAUGUACAUAACUUUUAUUGUUAUAAAUUUUUUCUUAAUGGUUAAAUAGGGAUUGUUAGAAACUAUGGGUUUGCAGUUUUCUGAGCAGGUGAGUUUUGAAUAUGGAUAAGUCAGAAUAAUGAGACAACUAUUGUUAAUCACUUUAAUACUAAAAAUAAAUUACUCUUCUGUUUCAGGGACUUAGGUAACUUAAAAUAAACCUUCAGUUUAUGGCCUUUUA